CCCCCACCUCCCGUUCUUGAGCUCCUGAGGAGGAAUAAGUGCUAUUUUUCAGGGACCUGCGGAAUUCGGUACGACACUGGACAUUGAAUCCUGGAUGGGGUCAAGGUCGCAGCCCUCAUACGCAAGGUAAAGCAAGCAGGGAACGACAAGGCAACCGGUUCACUCAUAUUGUUGCCAUUUUCCUGUGGUUUAGCACAGGAAGGGAGGGAUGCUGGCCCAGACCCCGGAAGAGAGGUGUUCUGCAAACCAGGCCUCAGGAACAUCCACACUGAGAAGUGAUGCCAGUCACAGAGUUUUUGUCAUCUUAAUUAGUUGAGGACAGUAUUCAAGA